AGCGGAGUAGGAGUACGGCGGCCGGACCAGCUUCAGCAACUCCUCCUGGCUGGCGAUGGACAGCCAGCCCAGGUCGGGCCCUCCGAACCCAGAGUCAACGUGUCAAACUGCAGUUUUAUGUGACGGACCAACACCGUGUGUGUUUGUUGAUGGACCCGAACGCAGCAGGCUGAGACGUAAGCAGUGUUGAAGAUUUAAUGAAACAGAGGUGAUCCACACAAAAAAAUCACAGAGAACCCAAGGAACCAGAGAAGAACAAAAAAAACAUGAAUCCGAGGAAAAGAACGGCAGGGAAUCAGCAGGGAGGACCGAUUUUAAGCAACAUUUGAAGUGUGAAGAGAAAACGCUGUUGGCUUUGUUAAAAAUGCGUCUCCUGUGCAGUGACUAGUUAUCGAGUAUUAAGUAAUCUUUAGAGUGACAAAGUCACUUUUAAAGGGUUAGUGAGUAAUCAGUAGUCAGAUUAAAUGUUCUAGGUAACCAUGGCAACACUGUUCGUCACAUAAAACUUGGUGAGGCCUUUUUUUUAAUACACUUCAACAUUACAAUGUAUGACAGAGAAUCAGGGUUUUACGAAUAAAAAUAAUUGUACAAGAAUAAGCCAUAAUACCAUGACUUUAUUAUUAUUAUUUUGACUUUUAUCGAAGUUUCUUCUCGUAAUGUCAUGACUUUGUUUUUGUCAUUUUUUCCGAUCUUAUCCUUGUAACACUACGGAUAUGUUCUCGUAAUACUACGACUUUAUCGUUGUGCAGCUUUAUCUUUGUAACAUUAUGACUUUGUUCUCUUCAUUUCAUCUUUUUAUUUCCUCAGCGUGACCCUUGCCCUCCGUCGUAGCCAUGAAACGGAGAACCGCAGGAUUAAACUUAAUUUAAAAAGUACUUGGUUUCAAGAAAUGGAGGAUUUAUAUCAUACUGCCCAAACAUGUAAACAAGCUCCCAGGAAAGUAUUCUCCCACAAUGCUCACAGUGUAGGCAAUCAGUGAAACACACUUAUAGAAAACAAGCUGCCUUGACAGGCUGUUAGUGUUUAACCAUCAGUGGGAAGGUGUGUGGAGGUCGGUGGCUGGAGGGGUGGUUAGGUUAUUUCUGUAGAUGUAAAGAUCUAUUUAUUUCCAUUUUGCACAGAUAUGUCUAUUCAUCAGAUGCACAAUCGCCACCAUUUACCUGCAGCCUGUUUCUGAUCGGUCAGUAAUCCGGUGCAUUAGCCCCUGUGUCCGGCCAAGUGGGAUCGUUUGCCCAGGAACCAUGUAAAAAUAAACAUGCACUGUUACCUACGUGCCUAAUUCCAGUGAGGAACAAACACAUGAGCAGACAUGCAGGUAUGAGGAUCAGGAGGCAGAUAACACACACACACACACACAUACACACACCCAUGCACUCGCGCACACAGAAGGCAUUCAUAGCAGGAGGUAAUGACACAGUGCUGCUUUUGAGACACAGGCCACAGUUCUGUGGGCUGACAGAGUUACAUGCAGGACAUGUUAUUGCUCUGUAUGUUUAUAACGCUGCCACGAAAAAAAAAAGAAAAAGAAGAGACCCGGCCGCAGGCAUUUCCUCCAGCCGCCCUCUCCUCGGUCACCUCCCCAAGAAAGGCAGGGAGCGCUCGGCUCAGGACCGAGAGCAUGCCACACUUCGCUUUUGGCGACGGUGUCGUUGUUUCUCUGGAACGUGCCUGGAAAAAACGUUCCAAAGUGGAAACAACGACACCUACUGUAUAUACGUAUAUCAAAUAUUAGUGAAGAAAUUUAACUUUGUAUUGUAGCGCCUUCAAAGAGGGUCUCUGUCUCUUUAAAAACUCCUGCUCUUUCUGACACUCCGCCUUCAGGAAGUCAUUACUAUUAACCCUUUUUUACCAGCGCUGCACUGAGAAGUAGCUCCUAUAAUGAGCUCAGCUGAUGCGCGGUUCCACCGGCUGUUUGCUAAUUUCUGCUGGCUAGUCUGAAGGAGCUGAGAGGGGAAGUCGGAGGGGGGAUGGGCUGCUCUGUGAGGCGGGAGCUCAAGUUUAAUAUUCAUAUCUUUCCAUCAUAGAAGACAUCAGUAGUGGUGAACUCAGCUACGUUCAAAUUGACUCAAUAAGAACAGAAAUAAUUAAAAGGAAAAUGACGAAGACGGCGUUGGUUUUUAAGGUUCAUAAAAUGAUUUUCAGUGUUGGCUCUUUCAUCACCAAGUGUCCGAGGAUUUAACAAGCUCUGUCAAUAAAACGGACGGAGACUUUCCUGGGAAGAGGUCAUUAAACCCACAACCAUGUUGGCUUUGAGGGAGGAAGGCAACUGUUUCCUGGUGUGUGGAGCAGAAAGCUGCUACAGGAGAUUGGGAACCAGUGAUUUAAGUAGUACUGUCAGCCUAUAACGCGAUUCCAAAUAACAGUUAAAAACACGUCACGUUUGAUUAUUAUCAGGCAAAAACUGCUUUUUUUCCCUCGUUGCAGCCCUGAAAGCGGCUCUCCAUCAGCAACACAGAGCAUAUUAAAAGCCUUAGAGUUGAUGGAAAACAGGUGAUCCAACUUUUAAAAAAUAUAAUUCGUCACAAGUAAUCACAUUUAGUUUAUCCAAGUAAAUAUAUUAAGUUGUCGUGUUUAAAAAAGAAAAUGUAAAUAAAUUAAAUUUGACAAACUGAAUUUGAUUACAUGUAACAAAUUAACUCUUUUAUUUUUAAGUUGGAGAUCUCUUGGAUAUGAGAUACAUAAAGCAGAAAGGAACAUGAAAUGGAAAGAAAAUUAUUAAUUUAAACUACAUGCAACACACAGGAGUUUGGUUUCAGAUGUUUUUCACUCUUUAUUGGGUUGUGCCACUAAAUACACCAUGUAUUAACGUGUGCAGUUUACUUUUCAGUGAUUAUUAUUAUUAUUAUUAUUAUUAUUAUUAUUAUACAGCUCUGAAGAAAAUUGACAGAUCACUUAAAACAAUCAGUUUCUCUGAUUUUACUUUUUACAUGUCUAUGUCUGAGUAAAAUGAAUAUUGUUCUUUUAUUCUAUGAACUACUGACAACAUGUCUCUGAACUUUCAAGCAGAAAUGUCGUGUUUAUUUGCAGAAAAUGAGAAAUGGUCAAAAUAACGAAGAAGAUGCAGCGCUUUCAGACCUCAAAUAACGCAAAGAAAACAAGCUUGUAUUAAUCUGGAAUCAACAAUACUGAUGUUUUAACUCUGGAAGAAUUCAGAAAUCAAUAUUUGGUGGAACAACCCAGGAGGUUUUCAGUGGGGUUCAAUGCAGUGGGCUCUUCAUUUUUUCCACAGCUGUAUAUCCAUAUAGUGUUUGUAGUUUUUUUUUCUCCUUCUGCAGGUGUAAAAGCAGACUUUAUGUUGUCGACUUGAUUCUCUUUAAGCUUCUUUCUCUUUUCUACUCUUGCCUCCUUCUGUCCUUUCAAACCUUUUCCCCAACUUUCCUUCCUGCUUCCAUUUCCAUUACAUUGGCAAUAAACCAUUUUCUACAAAGAUUGGGAAUUACUGAUUGUACUAGCGGGAAAUAUUUUGUAAAAAUAUGACAAUUAAAUUAUCAUACGACUGGUGACGGUGAAUGUCCUCAACAUGUACACGGUAUAUCUUUCUCCAGGACUGACGCAGCUCUUUUGUUGACACUGUAUGACAUAGCAUUGGUUUAAAUGCCCAAAAUGUGCAUUGAUGUGAUGUGUGUGAUUUGAGCCAUUUUAAUUGGGAAGAAAUUUAGGAGAGUCCAAAUUUAUUCCUCACCUGAAAUUGCCCCAUUUGUCAAGCCUUUUGCUUUUAUUAGGCUUUUAUUGUCGUGAUGGUGUGGAUGAUGGUGGACCCAGAGGCAGAGGCAGCUUGUAGGUGGAGAAUGUUUUAAUGACAAGAUGGUGAUAAAAAUCUUACAAAAACCACAGGGAAUACAGGGAGCCAGAGCAGAACAAAAACCAUGAAUCCAAGGGAAAUGGAGGGAGAGUAGACAGGGGAUUAGGAAAUACAUCUAAAAUGAGUAGAUAUAAGGAACAUAGAUGAACUAAAGCACAAGGAAUAACUAGACACUAGAAAAAAACAAACUACAGUCACUAACUGCGAAUUGAAAUAAGGUAAGACAGAAACACAGAAGAAGAAAGAGACUGACGCAGAAUAAUAGUGAAACUAAAAUCAAAUCAAAGAACCAAAACAACUCAAGACCCAGGAUCUAACAUUUAUGUUGUGUCCUAAACUUUUAGGAGGAUGCAGAACCCUGUGACAGGCAGAACUGUCUCUGUUUUCCAAGCCAACACAACAACCCAGCUUUCUCCACGGCUUCAAAGCUUUCUGUCUGAUUCAUUUGAACAAUGUCUCUCCUGCUUUUCUGCCAGCAGCAAUCAGCACUUCAACAUGAGGCGUGAACAAGUUUGGUGAAAAGCCUGAAAACAAAAAAAAGCAACAACAAAAAAAAAUCUAAACUGAGGCUAUAGCAUUAAAACCCCAACUCUACAUGGUUUGGUCAGAUGAAGCAGAAAUGGAGCUGGACUCAGACUGCAUAGCUAACGGGGCCGUGUUUACAAUUCACCGCAAGCAGUCUGAUUUUUUUUUUUUUUUUUUAAAGGCAGUCGACUUGAAGGUCUAAUGGCUUCUUCUUUUUUUUUAAAAGUAAUGACUUUGUGAUUUGUGCAAAAAUGGCAUUAACCCGGGCUUUUGUUAUUCUAAUCCAUCCUGGUCUAGUUUGUGUUGCAGGAAGAGUUUUUCUCACUGGGCGCUCAGAGGAGGUGUGUGUGUGUGUGUGUGUGUGUGUGUGUGUGUGUGUGUGUGUGUGUGUGUGUGUGCACCCUGACCCCUGUCACUUUUAUGAUGGUCCUGUCCUCCGUCUUCCAUCGCCCGACCGCGUCCUCCCGGCUCGUCUUUAUGCCGGAAACACUUCCCUGUGUUCACCUCCUGCCAAGCCGCCCCCCUCACAAAAAACCUCCUCACACGACAAAGACAUUUCCACCGGCCCUCGUUUGUCAACUUAUCUGGCAGGGCGGCAGUUUGCUUUUUCAAUUAAAAAAGAGAGAGAGAGAGAGAGUCAUUAAACAGUUUGCAGGGAGGUGGUGGACUGUUGUCCGAUGCACAGGAAGAGCCUGUGCCAUCUCCUCCCGAACUUGAACAGGUGCAAAGACAACAGUCAAUGCGAUCUUUGUGUCGACUGGAGGAAGUUUGGACCUGGCGCCACCUCUCCUCUGUCUGGCUUCUGGAAGACUUGAACCGCUAAAAGAAAGCGGUGACACGCUGCUGAAUGGGAAACCAUAUAUUCCUGACUGACACAGGCCACUAAAGUACCUGCUUGUUUUGGCCACCAGCAGCCGUCCUCCAUGCUCCCUCGUCGAUUCCUCCUGUUUGUCCAGCCGUUCGUUGUGUUUCUCACUACAAUGAAACGUUACUAAAUGACUCACUUUGAAAACUGCUGGGUCAUUUCUACAACCCCACAUGCUGGCAUCAUGCUGCAGGGACAGAAUUUGGGUAAUUCUAAACAAACAUUGUUUAUGUUUUUUAAAAUAAAAGUAUGUAACUUUUAUUUUUUUUUUAAAUGUUGUUGUUGUUUUUUUUACAUUGAUGUUAAAUUAAUCAGCAUGUCGUGACAAUAUAAUAUGAGAUGGAUAAUCUAUGAGAAGAUCAAGUUCCACUUCCUCCCAGUUCUAAUAAUGCCAACACAGAGUCAGGAGGAGGGUCUUGGUGCCGUCAAGCUCAUGUACGUGCUGCUAAAUGUAAUAAUUGCAAACAAUUUACAGUUUCAGGAAAACUGUUUAUCCACUGUUAUCGUUGGUUAUGCUAGCUAGCUUUAGCAUUCAUGACGGGUUUCGUUGCUGUAGCGUGGCAUAAAGAAUGGGGUAGGAUGUGGGCAGCGCAUACACAAGAGUGACUGGCAACACUAAGACCCUCAUCCUGGCUCUGAUUGGACCAUAAGGAGAAUGCAGCUGAGCUCAAUUUUUUUUCCUCAGAUUAUCUGAAUUAUAUAAAACUGUCACAACAUAUUAAUUUUAACAUAUGUGUAAAAACUUUUUUUUUAAAUAGGUACAUACACAAAGUUUAACUCACAAAUUAUGAUCUAGUUUUUUUGGAUUGGAGGAAAUGAGAACUGCCAUUCUGAUUUGUAUGUGUUUUUUUUUGUUUGUUUUUUUUCUUUUAAUAAUUAUUUUGUGUUAGCCUGCAAAGUUUUUGUCUGGAGAGUGAUAUUAAAAACGCCAGAUCAAUGUACAUAUUUAAGAGAACGGUAAAAGUUAGGGGUUUUUCUUUUUUUUUCUUUUUU